CAAUAGCGUAUAUUAAAGCUGUUGCGGUUAAAAAGCUCGUAGUUGGAUUUCUGUCAAGGACAACUGGUCCGCCCCUCGGGUGAGCACAUAGUUUGGUCUUGGCAUCUUGUUGGAAACUGUUGCUGCACUUGGUUGUGUGGCGCAGUGUCCAGCACUUUCACUUUGAGGAAAUUGGAGUGUUUCAAGCAGGCACAUGCCUUUGGACACAGUAGCAUGGAAUAAUUAGAUUGGGCUUUUGCUCCAACUUGUCGGUUUCUGGAGCUGAGGUGAGAAUUAAUGGGGAUUGUUGGGGGCAUCCGAAUUUAGCCGUCGGAGGUGAAAUUCUUGGAUCUGCUAAAGACGGACAACUGCGAAAGCGUUUGCCCAGGAUGUUUUCAUUGA
rnacentral:rRNA from 1 species